rnacentral:rRNA from 1 species
CGCAAGUCUGAUGCAGCGACGCCGCGUGCGCGAUGAAGGCCUUCGGGUUGUAAAGCGCUGUCGAGGGGGAGGAACGCCCGCAAGGGUUUGACCUAUCCCUGGAGGAAGGACGGGCUAAGUUCGUGCCAGCAGCCGCGGUAAGACGAACCGUCCAAACGUUGUUCGGAUUCACUGGGCGUAAAGGGCGCGUAGGCGGGCACGUACGCCCGGAGUGAAAUCUGUCGGCUUAACCGGCAGACGGCUCCGGGUACGGCGUGUCUGGAGGGAGGCAGGGGUCUGUGGAACUUCCGGUGGAGCGGUGAAAUGCGUUGAUAUCGGAAGGAACGCCGGUGGCGAAAGCGACAGACUGGACCUCUUCUGACGCUGAGGCGCGAAAGCCAGGGGAGCGAACGGGAUUAGAUACCCCGGUAGUCCUGGCCCUAAACGAUGGGUACUAGGUAGCGGACUUGACAUGGGUUCCCUGCCGAAGCCAACGUGGUAAGUACCCCGCCUGGGGAGUAUGGUCGCAAGGCUGAAACUCAAAGGAAUUGACGGGGGCUCACACAAGCGGUGGAGCAUGUGGCUUAAUUCGAGGCUACGCGAAGAACCUUAUCCUGGGCUUGACAUGUGCGAAAGCGCCGGGGAGUAGGGGGCGGAAACGUUCCCCCAACGGUAUCCAGUCCGGAACCCGGUACAGGUGCUGCAUGGCUGUCGUCAGCUCGUGUCGUGAGAUGUCGGGUUAAGUCCCAUAACGAGCGAAACCCUUGUCUCCAGUUGCCAGCGGGUCAUGCCGGGGACUCUGGAGAGACUGCCGGUGUUAAACCGGAGGAAGGCGGGGAUGACGUCAAGUCCUCAUGGCCUUUAUGUCCAGGGCUGCACACGUGCUACAAUGGCGUGAACAGAGGGAUGCCAACGCGCAAGCGGGAGCCAAUCCCAAAAAACACGCCCCAGUUCAGAUCGCAGGCUGCAACUCGCCUGCGUGAAGUUGGAAUCGCUAGUAAUCGCGGGUCAGCAACACCGCGGUGAAUGUGUUCCUGAGCCUUGUGCACACCGCCCGUCAAGCCACGAAAGAUCGGGGCGUCCGAAGUCGCCGCACUAAGCCGGCGCCGAAGACGAAACGGUCGAUUGGGACUAAGUCGUACAAGGUAACCGUA